UACGGAGGGUCCAAGCGUUAUCCGGAAUCAUUGGGUUUAAAGGGUCCGUAGGCGGUUUGGAUAAUGUCAGUGGUGAAAUCAUUUCGGCUCAACCCGGGAAUGGCCAAUUGAUACGUGUCAGACGUUGAAUUAUUAGGAAGUAACUAGAAUAUGUAGUGUAGCGGUGAAAUGCUUAGAGAUUACAUGGAAUACCAAUUGCGAAGGCCAGGUUACUACUAAUGGAUUGAACGCUGGAUGGACGAAAGCGUCGGGUAGCGAACAGG
rnacentral:rRNA from 1 species